UACGAAGGGGGCUAGCGUUGUUCGGAAUUACUGGGCGUAAAGCGCGCGCAGGCGGCUAUCCAAGUCAGUGGUGAAAGCCCGGAGCUCAACUCCGGAACUGCCAUUGAAACUGUUUAGCUUGAGUAUGAGAGAGGUGAGUGGAAUUCCCAGUGUAGAGGUGAAAUUCGUAGAUAUUCGGAAGAACACCGGUGGCGAAGGCGGCGACCUGGUCCGAUACUGACGCUGAGGCGCGAAAGCGUGGGGAGCAAACAGG
rnacentral:rRNA from 1 species